AAUUUACAACUGCUGUUACAGAAUUUGCCACUGCAGUUAAUAUUUUAACAUCAUGGCUCAUGUCCCUGACAUGCCCAGAGAGGCUCUACUUACUAUUCUGCAGGCCUUCCAGAGGACCCACUGCGCAGAGUCCUAUGCUGCGCUGCUUCACAGUGUCCAAGACGCCCAGGAGCCUCAGGAGGGUUCGGGGGCCCACCAGAGGACGUCGUGCCCGCCGUUCCAGGCCGCCACCCAGAUUGUCCCCCAGUCCGGUGCGGAGAGCCAGGGCUGUGCCACCAGCUGCUACCUGUCCGGGGCCGAGUGAGGCUGGCCCCCUGCGGAGGAAUCCGGGUUCCUGUAGAAGAAGGAGCGGGGAGAGGC